rnacentral:rRNA from 1 species
AUUGAACGCUGGCGGCAGGCCUAACACAUGCAAGUCGAGCGAGCGGCGGACGGGUGAGUAAUGUAUGUGGAUCUGCCCGAUAGAGGGGGAUAACUACUGGAAACGGUGGCUAAUACCGCAUACUAUCGGAUGAACCCAGAUGGGAUUAGCUAGUGGGUGGGGUAAAGGCUCACCUAGGCUACGAUCUCUAGCUGGUCUGAGAGGAUGAUAAGCCAAACUGGGACUGAGCAAAGGCCCAGACUCCUACGGACGGAAGCAGUGGGAAAUAUUGCACAAUGGGCGCAAGCCUGAUGCAGCCAUGCCGCGUGUAUGAAGAAGGCCUUAGGGUUGUAAAGUACUUUCAGCGGGGAGGCGUUACCCGCAGAAGAAGCACCGGCUAACUCCGUGCCAGCAGCCGCGGUAAUAC